CCCAGACUCCUACGGGAGGCAGCAGUGGGGAAUAUUGCGCAAUGGGCGAAAGCCUGACGCAGCGACGCUGCGUGAGGGAUGAAGGUCUUCGGAUCGUAAACCUCUGUCAGCAGGGAAGAACGGUCACUGUGCUAAUCAGCAGUGAAUUGACGGUACCUGCAAAGGAAGCACCGGCUAACUCCGUGCCAGCAGCCGCGGUAAUACGGAGGAUGCGAGCGUUAUCCGGAUUUAUUGGGUUUAAAGGGUGCGUAGGCGGGGAUGCAAGUUGGGUGUUAAAUCUGCCGGCUCAACUGGUAGUCGCACUCAAAACUGCAGCUCUUGAGUGAAGUAGAGGCAGGCGGAAUUCCUAGUGUAGCGGUGAAAUGCGUAGAUAUCAGGAGGAACACCGGUGGCGAAGGCGGCCUGCUGGACUGCGACUGACGUUGAGGCCCGAAAGCGUGGGGAGCAAACAGGAUUAGAUACCCCAGUACU
rnacentral:rRNA from 1 species